GCAACAUGUUACCAAAAAAAGGUUUUAAGUGGAACACACAGGUUUUCUAAAAGUAUAGCACCCUACAGACAUACACUCUAUGUCUCUAAACUAUAGAUUUUUUUUUUUAAGUUGAAGUAAAAGCUCCUUCUUUGGUAGGCCUCCUUCCCCACCCCCCCAUAAGCCAUGUACAUUUUGCAUUCUUUAAUUUGGAAAGCAGUUCUGAAGCAUUUACAUGAUCAAUGUCUUUUGCUUGAGGGAUAAAGUUUGCUCUUCCAUGGACAAGUGAGAACAUAUUGAUCAUUUUAUUCUAUUUGCUAUUUCUAAAUUCAAUAUACCUCUUGAGUCGAUAAGCAAGAUCGAGAGCAUAUUCUUUUUUUGUGUGUGCCUGGUUGUAGCUUGUUCUCAAGAUUCAAGAUACAUUUUUGAUUAAUCACGAAUGCUCUGAGGUCAUGGAGAGCAAAUGUGUUUGUGGAGUGUCAGCUGAUGCUGUCAGAUAAAUGUCUUAAGCUUAGCCAGGGUUCAUGCCC
rnacentral:lncRNA from 1 species